ensembl:lncRNA
UUCAUUUCACUCCAAAGGAUUGGCUGAGGUAGGAGAACAGCACUGGGUCAGGCACAGAUUCCUCUGGAGCCUCUCCAAUGUGCCUGAGCUUGCCAAAUGAAGGGAGUGGGGUCACGUCCCGUGUGAUGCUUGUUCCAUUGCACAAGAGGUCGAGCACCAAAGCUGGAGGAGGAGAGCUGGGGGAGCCUGUGCUUGGUACAAGACUUCAAUUUUAGAUGCUAGAAAGAUAUUAUCAGUGCUUUUUGAGUUGCUGUGAAAAGGAAAGUUAUCCAGAUUCAGAGAGAUCUGUAAAGAUGCAGGCACGCUAAGAGUAAAUAGAAUACUGCUGCAAAGAAAAACAGAACAGCGUAAGAGUAAAUUAAAUGCAUGAUUAAUAACAUAAUUAAUACAAUCAGGCAAUCGACAAGCCAAACAGAUCACUCUGGUUUUAAACCCAUGUAUAUAAGUCUACGCUAAAGCUCUAUUGCCAAUGCCUGUGGCUCUGGGUGUUAGAUACGAUGCUGAGAGUUUGAGGUGCUGCUGCCACCCUCCGUUUGUCUCAUAUUCUGCAGAAUUUUCCCCACAGACAACAGAAGCAAGCAGGAAUUGUUCUCUCAGAUGCUGCAAAUAAUAACUGUGUGGUGAACUCCAGCUGCUAGAGGCAAAGAAGUUGUUGCAUUCACAGGGUUAGGUCUGUUUUCCAGUCUUCAGCCAAAAAGGAGUUGGCUUUUAGCUUCUGGGUUUUUCUGCACUUGAAACUUGUUUUUGAAGAGUGGUGAAGUCAAAGCAAGUCACUUUGUAACUUAGAUGGACGUGAAAGUUUAACAGAGUUCAGGUCAGAGCUGAAGUCCAGGGAGCACAAAAAGAGACCAUAUUACCACUCACUGCUGCUUCACUUGAAUUUUUGUGCAACAUUUGUUUUGCUUUCAAGCUGCUUCCUGCUUUAGUAAGGGAAACCUAUAGCAAGUUGCUGCUCUGCUUCGUUGAUUUCCAUAGAAGCCUUCUUAAAAUUCAUUUUCCUCAAUGAAGGUGUAAUGGUGAGACUCCAGAGUUACUGAAACAGCGACUGUUGUUGAAUGACCCAUGAUUCUAAUAUUUCUGUCCAGUAAUUCUCACCUAUCCAUUACUUUAACCUCCAGUUCUAAAUUCUUUAAGGCAAAAUCCUUUCUGUUCUGUGUCAGCAGCGUCAGGAAACGAGCUUUUAGUGCCUAAUAAAAUAAAUCUAUUGGCACUUGUGCUGGAGUCCUUCCACAGCAAUACGAUACUGCUUUGCUGCACUUGAAUUUGCUUUUUCUCUUUUGCACUGGGAUCAUCUUGAUUAAAUACAA